GACGAACGCUGGCGGCGUGCUUAACACAUGCAAGUCGAACGGAAAGGCCCUGCUUUUGUGGGGUGCUCGAGUGGCGAACGGGUGAGUAACACGUGAGUAACCUGCCCUUGACUUUGGGAUAACUUCAGGAAACUGGGGCUAAUACCGGAUAGGAGCUCCUGCUGCAUAGUGGGGGUUGGAAAGUUUCGGCGGUUGGGGAUGGACUCGCGGCUUAUCAGCUUGUUGGUGGGGUAGUGGCUUACCAAGGCUUUGACGGGUAGCCGGCCUGAGAGGGUGACCGGCCACAAUGGGACUGAGAUACGGCCCAGACUCCUACGGGAGGCAGCAGUGGGGAAUAUUGCACAAUGGGCGGAAGCCUGAUACAGCAACGCCGCGUGCGGGAUGACGGCCUUCGGGUUGUAAACCGCUUUCGCCUGUGACGAAGCGGGAGUGACGGUAAUGGGUAAAGAAGCACCGGCUAACUACGUG
rnacentral:rRNA from 1 species